rnacentral:rRNA from 1 species
GAUGAACGCUAGCUACAGGCUUAACACAUGCAAGUCGCGGGGCAGCAUGGGGGUUGCUUGCCAUCCCCGAUGGCGACCGGCGCACGGGUGAGUAACGCGUAUCCAACCUGCCCUUCACCACGGGAUAACCCGGCGAAAGUCGGACUAAUACCGUAUGUUGUCCAUUGACGGCAUCCGAUUUGGACGAAAGGCUUGGCGGUGAGGGAUGGGGAUGCGUCCGAUUAGCCAGACGGCGGGGUAACGGCCCACCGUGGCUACGAUCGGUAGGGGUUCUGAGAGGAAGGUCCCCCACACUGGAACUGAGACACGGUCCAGACUCCUACGGGAGGCAGCAGUGAGGAAUAUUGGUCAAUGGGCGUAAGCCUGAACCAGCCAAGUAGCGUGCAGGAUGACGGCCCUAUGGGUUGUAAACUGCUUUUAUGCGGGGAUAAAGUGGCCCACGUGUGGGCUUUUGCAGGUACCGCAUGAAUAAGAACCGGCUAAUUCCGUG